rnacentral:rRNA from 1 species
GUACACGCUGUGACUAGCAUAUCAAUAAGCGGAGGAAAAGAAACUAACAAGGAUUCCCCUCAGUAACGGCGAGUGAAGCGGGAAGAGCUCAAAUUUGAAAUCUUAAAGGGUUUCCCUUUACGAAUUGUAGUUUAAAGAAGUGUUUUCUGUUGAGGUUUUGGUAAAAGUUCUUUGGGAAUAGGACAUCAUAGAGGGUGAGAAUCCCGUAUUUGACCUUUACUUUCAACUUUGUGAUACACUUUCAAAGAGUCGGAUUGUUUGGGAAUGCAGUCCAAAAUGGGUGGUAAAUUUCAUCUAAAGCUAAAUAUUGGCGAGAGACCGAUAGCGAACAAGUACCGUGAGGGAAAGAUGAAAAGAACUUUGAAAAGAGAGUUAAAUGGUACGUGAAAUUGUCAAAAGGGAAGCGUUUGACACCAGUGUUGUUUUUCUGAAAAUCAAUUAAAGAACUGUUUAUGCUAAGCUGUUUAGACUUUAUCAGCUAUCUGUUUAGUUUUGAACUUUUCUUUAAUGCACUUUUCAGUUAACAAGUCAACAUCAAUUUCUUUUGCUGUAAAAAAGCUUGAGGAAGGUGGCUUGAGAUUCGUCUUAAGUGUUUAUAGCCUCUUGCCUAUGCAGUCGGAGAGAUUGAGGUCUGCAGCGUAGAUCCUUCGGGGCUAAAUGCAUUUGUGCUAAGUUAUAGCAUUUCAUAGACAACUUGUUGAUUAUGUUUUGUCUAUUGCAUACUCGCUUGUACUAUCAUACCUACGCUUAGGAUGUUGACGCAUGAGAUAUACGC